rnacentral:snRNA from 1 species
GUGUUCGCUUCAGCAGCACGUAUACUAACAAUGGAGGAAUAAGAGGACUAGCAGGGCCCCUGUGCAAGGAUGACACGCAAGUGCGUGAAGCGGUCCAAACUUAA